rnacentral:rRNA from 1 species
GACGAACGCUGGCGGCGUGCUUAACACAUGCGAGUCGAACGGAAAGGCCCUGCUUUUGUGUGGUGCUCGAGUGGCGAACGGGUGAGUAACACGUGAGUAACCUGCCCUUGACUUUGGGAUAACUUCACGAAACUGGGGCUAAUACCGGAUAGGAGCUCCUGCUGCAUGGGGGGGGUUGGAAAGUUUCGGCGGUUGGGGAUGGACUCGCGGCUUAUCAGCUUGUUGGGGGGGUAGGGGCUUUCCAAGGCUUUGACGGGUAGGCGGCCUGAGAGGGUGACCGGGCACAUUGGGACUGAGAUACGGCGCAGACUCCUACGGGAGGCAGCAGUGGGGAAUAUUGCGCAGUGGGGGGAAGCCUGAUACAGCAACGCCGCGUGCGGGAUGACGGCCUUCGGGUUGUAAACCGAUUUCGCCUGUGACGAAGCGUGAGUGACGGUAAUGGGUAAAGAAGCACCGGCUAACUACGUG